UGUUUUUAUUAGUCAUGGUUCUAUUUCCAGGCACGACCAGGAACACUGGUGUUUGAUCCUUUUGUUGGGACGGGCAGUACUUUAUUAUCAUGUGGACAUUUUGGUUCAAGAGUGUUUGGUAGUGACAUUGAUAAAAACUUGAUAACAGGAAGAGGGAAAUCAUCACGUGCAUCAAGCAAGUGCAAGUGGAGAAAAAGAGAUGAAAUAAUUCGCACUAAUUUCAUAAAUGCUGGCUUGGAGCAUUUGUUUGUGGAUGUUAUUGUGGCCGAUGCUUCCAGGCAAGUACUUCGACCAA